UUCCAAGGACAGGAUGUUUGCUAAGCUAGCAGAUGAAGUCAAGGCCAAGGAGGACCUCCAAGAGGGGGUUAAGAAACUGGAGAAUGAGAAGGCCUCUCUGCAGACAGACAGUGAGAAGUACACGGGCCAGGUGCAGAGACUCCAGCAGAAACUGCAGAUCAUGACAGAGAUGUUCCAGGAGAAUGAGCUCAAACUACACAGGUACUCUACGGGAGCCACACCAACGCUGACCCAAAUGCACAGCUUCAUCUAUAAACAUUCAAAUCAAAUAACAUUUUAUUGGUCACAUACACAUGAUGUUAUUGCGGGUGUAGCGCAAUUCUUGUGCUUCUAGCUCUGACAGUGCAGUAAUAUCUAACAAAUAAUAAAUUACACAACAUAUACACACAUCUAAGUAGGAAUGAAUUAAGACUAUAUACAUAUGGACGAGCGAUGUCAGAGCGGAACGGACUAAGGUACAGUAGAAUAGUAUAGAAAAACAGUAUAUACAUAUGAGAUGAGUAAUGCAAGAUAUGUAAGAAUUAAGUGUCUAAGAUACCAUAGAAUACAGUAUAUACAUAUGAGAAGUGUAAUGCCAGAUAUGUAAAACAUUAUUCAAGUGACUAGUGUUCCAUUCCUUAAAGUGGCCAGUGAUUCCUAGUCUAUGCCUAUAGGCAGCAGUCUCUAAUGUGCUGUGAUGGCUGUUAGAAGCUGUUUUUCAGUCUCUCGGUUCCAGCUUUGAUGGACCUGUAUUGACCUCGCCUUCUGGAUGAUAGCGGGGUGAACAGGCAGUGGCUCAGGUGGUUGAUGUCCUUGAUGAUCUUUUUGGCCUUCCUUACUCCCUGUUCAAAAAAUGUAGAACCAAGAAACAGAUAUAGCCCUUGGUUCACUCCAGACCUGACUGCCCUUGACCAGCACAAAAACAUCCUGUGGCGUACUGCAUUAGCAUCAAAUAGCCCCCGUGAUAUGCAACUUUUCAGGGAAGUUAGGAACCAAUAUACACAGGCAGUUAGGAAAGCAAAGGCUAGGUUUUUCAAGCAGAAAUUUGCAUCCUGUAGCGCAAACUCCAAAAAGUUCUGGGACACUGUAAAGUCCAUGGAGAAUAAGAGCACCUCCUCCCAGCUGCCCACUGCACUGAGGCUAGGUAACACUGUCACCACCGAUAAAUCCACGAUAAUUGAGAAUUUCAAUAAGC
rnacentral:lncRNA from 1 species